rnacentral:rRNA from 1 species
AGCGAACGCUGGCGGCAGGCUUAACACAUGCAAGUCGAGCGGGCACUUCGGUGUCAGCGGCAGACGGGUGAGUAACACGUGGGAACGUACCCUUUGGUUCGGAAUAACGCUGGCAAACUAGCGCUAAUACCGGAUACGCCCUUUUGGGGAAAGGCUUGCUGCCGAAGGAUCGGCCCGCGUCUGAUUAGCUAGUUGGUGGGGUAAUGGCCUACCAAGGCGACGAUCAGUAGCUGGUCUGAGAGGAUGAUCAGCCACACUGGGACUGAGACACGGCCCAGACUCCUACGGGAGGCAGCAGUGGGGAAUAUUGGACAAUGGGCGCAAGCCUGAUCCAGCCAUGCCGCGUGAGUGAUGAAGGCCUUAGGGUUGUAAAGCUCUUUUGUCCGGGACGAUAAUGACGGUACCGGAAGAAUAAGCCCCGGCUAACUUCGUG